GCGAACGCUGGCGGCAGGCCUAACACAUGCAAGUCGAACGAACUCUUCGGAGUUAGUGGCGGACGGGUGAGUAACACGUGGGAACGUGCCUUUAGGUUCGGAAUAACUCAGGGAAACUUGUGCUAAUACCGAAUGUGCCCUUCGGGGGAAAGAUUUAUCGCCUUUAGAGCGGCCCGCGUCUGAUUAGCUAGUUGGUGAGGUAAAGGCUCACCAAGGCGACGAUCAGUAGCUGGUCUGAGAGGAUGAUCAGCCACAUUGGGACUGAGACACGGCCCAAACUCCUACGGGAAGCAGCAGUGGGGAAUCUUGCGCAAUGGGCGAAAGCCUGACGCAGCCAUGCCGCGUGAAUGAUGAAGGUCUUAGGAUUGUAAAAUUCUUUCACCGGGGACGAUAAUGACGGUACCCGGAGAAGAAGCCCCGGCUAACUUCGUG
rnacentral:rRNA from 1 species